GACGAACGCUGGCGGCGUGCUUAACACAUGCAAGUCGAACGGUAAGGCCCUUCGGGGUACACGAGUGGCGAACGGGUGAGUAACACGUGGGUGAUCUGCCCUGCACUUCGGGAUAAGCCUGGGAAACUGGGUCUAAUACCGGAUAGGACCACUGCCUGCAUGGGUGGUGGUGGAAAGCUUUUGCGGUGUGGGAUGGGCCCGCGGCCUAUCAGCUUGUUGGUGGGGUGAUGGCCUACCAAGGCGACGACGGGUAGCCGGCCUGAGAGGGUGACCGGCCACACUGGGACUGAGAUACGGCUCAGACUCCUACGGGAGGCAGCAGUGGGGAAUAUUGCACAAUGGGCGCAAGCCUGAUGCAGCGACGCCGCGUGAGGGAUGACGGCCUUCGGGUUGUAAACCUCUUUCAGCACCGACGAAGCGCAAGUGACGGUAGGUGCAGAAGAAGGUCCGGCCAACUACGUGCCAGCAGCCGCCGCAG
rnacentral:rRNA from 1 species